rnacentral:rRNA from 1 species
CACGUAGGGGGCGAGCGUUGUCCGGAAUCAUUGGGCGGAAAGAGCGCGCAGGCGGCUUGGCAAGUCGGGGGUGAAAUCCCGGGGCUCAACCCCGUGACUGCAUCCGAUACUGUCAGGCUAGAGGUAGGUAGGGGAGAUCGGAAUUCCUGGUGUAGCGGUGAAAUGCGCAGAUAUCGGGAAGAACACCCGUGGCGAAGGCGGUUCUCUGGGACGGUACUGACGCUGAGACGCGAAAGCGUGGGGAGCGAACAGG